rnacentral:rRNA from 1 species
UACGAAGGGGCUAGCGUUGCUCGGAAUCACUGGGCGUAAAGGGCGCGUAGGCGGGACGGCACGUCGGUCGCUGAAAGCCCCCGGCUCAACCGGGGAACGGGCGCCGAUACGACCGCCCUCGAGGAACGUAGGGGGACCUGGAACUUCCGGUGGAGCGGUGAAAUGCGUUGAGAUCGGAAGGAACGCCCGUGGCGAAAGCGAGGUCCUGGACGUUUACUGACGCUGAGACGCGAAAGCCAGGGGAGCGAACGGG